GCCUUGUUAGCUCGAUUGGUAGAGCGUGAGACUCUUACAGUCCCUCUGACCGGGUAAGAGCAUUGAGGUUGUGGGUUCGACUCCCGUGCGAGGCU